ensembl:snoRNA SNORD58 Small nucleolar RNA SNORD58
UUGCUGUGAUGAUGAUCUUAGGACACCUUUCGAACAACUGUGAAAAAAAAUUCCAUGCCAAUUCUGAGCGAC